CUGUGGUGGGAGCCGUGAGGGGCUAUGGUAGGAGCCGUGAGGGGCUGCCCGCCUUGGGGUGCUCCUCGCCCGCACAGUUCCCGCAGAGUGCCCUGGCGCUGUGAAGGACGAGCUCCCGAGGGACUGAACCCUGCCUAGGGCAGCUCCCACCGUCAGCAGCCUUGUGCAAGCUCAGCAGGCCUGAGGGCUCUCUGGAAGGAGAGCGAGCUGACCAGCGCCUGCGCCGCCCUUCCCCUCGGCAGCCUGGCUCACCUGUGAGCAGCGAGCCCUCUGCUCGGCCUGACCCUGGGAAAGCUGUCCUUAGAGCUCAGCCUGUGCCAUUCCCUGACUGCUAAAACAGCCACAUUCAUCUAAGGCGUCCUUGUGAGAUCUUCUCAGUCAAGCUGAGCCUGCUAAGGGGCCCUGUUCUCCUGUGUUUCCAGUGAAGUGGCAAAGCAAUCCCAAAGCCCUUGCAGCAGAGGCUGGAUCCAGAUUCUAUGACCUUCCAAGCAAAAGGCAGUGAAGUGUGAGGAUGUGAAGGAAAAGGCUCUGGGCUGAAGUCUCCUUUCCUGAAGAGCUGAGGUUUUGCUGUGGGUUUCUUUCUGGCUGUGCUAUCACAGAUCCACCUGUGUGUCACUGCUGUGAGCUCUUGGUCUGCAUCUCAGCAGAAGCCAUCUCUGGGGAGAACAGGACCCCAGCAAGGCAGCCGUAAGAACUUCAAAGGAUAAGUCCUGCAGCUGUGAGCUUCACUCAGGCUGAGAGCCCUGGGACACCCCAGCAGAGAGCUUCUUCUCCCUUUUACUCUGCCCUGCUGAGACCACACCUGCAGUACUGUGUCCGGUGCUGGGCUCCCCAGCUCAGGAGGGACAGGGAAUUACUGGAGAGAGUCCAGUGGAGGCCACCAAGAUGCUGAGAGGCCUGGAUCCUCUCUGAGGAGCAAAGGCUGAGAGCCCUGGGGCUGAGAGCCUGCAGAAGAGCUGCUCCAAGGGGAUCUGAUCAGUGCUCAGCAAGAGCUAAAGGGUAGGGGGCAAGAGACUGGGGCUGGGCUCUUGCAGGGACAGGAAAGGGGCAAGGGGCACAAACUGGAACCCAGGAGGCUUCACUUGAACUUAAGGGGAAAGUUGUUUGGUGUGAGGGUGCUGGAGGCCUGGUGCAGGCUGCCCAGGGAGGCUGUGGAGUCUCCUGCUCUGGAGGCUUUCAAAACCCUCUUGGGUGCCCUGCCCUGGAUGUCCCUGCUCUGGCAAGGGGAUUAGACUGGAUGACCUGCAGAGGUCCCUUCCCAACCCCUGCUGUUGGUGAUUCUAUGAUCCAGUGCAGUAGAUGUAAAGGAGACUGCAGGAGGAGCAGUGUUCCAUGCUUUGAUGAUCUGUGGCUUUGGUACAGUGCCAGCCAAAGAGCUCUAAUGGAAGCCCCAAAAGGAGAGCAGCAUCUUCUGUGGCUUGCUGCCCAGUCAGACUUGAAGAUCAUUUCCUGGCAUCAGCCACUGGUAUUUUCCUGGCACCAGAGCUUUUCUCCCACUGCUCCUGACCCAGCUGAGGAUGCUGUUGCCCUUCCUGGCCACAGGCUGGCUGAUCUCCAGCUUGCUGUGAACCGGCACCCUGAGGUGUUUCUCUGCUGGGCAGAGUCUGUCUUGUUUGGCCUUCCAGUACUUAAAGAGGCUCCGGGAGAGCUGGGGAAGGACUUCUGACAAAGGGUGUGCCAGGACGAGGGACAAUGGCUUUGAGCUAGAGAGGGGAGAUUGAGAGUGAAGAGGAGGAAGGAAUUGACAGUGAGGAUGGGGAGACGCUGGCACAGGUUGCCCAGGGGGGCUGUGGAGGUGUUCAGGGCCAGAGUGGAUGAGGCCCUGAGCAACCUGGGCUGAUGGGAGGUGUCCCUGCCCAGCUAAACCUUUCUAUUCAUCUGUGAAUCUGCU